UGGGGAAUAUUGCACAAUGGGGGAAACCCUGAUGCAGCGACGCCGCGUGAACGAAGAAGGUAUUCGUAUCGUAAAGUUCUGUCCUAUGGGAAGAUAAUGACAGUACCAUAGAAGAAAGCUCCGGCUAAAUACGUGCCAGCAGCCGCGGUAAUACGUAUGGAGCGAGCGUUGUCCGGAAUUAUUGGGCGUAAAGGGUACGCAGGCGGUUUAAUAAGUCGAAUGUUAAAGAUCGGGGCUCAACCCCGCAAAGCAUUGGAAACUGAUAAACUUGAGUAGUGGAGAGGAAAGUGGAAUUCCUAGUGUAGUGGAGAAAUACGUAGAUAUUAGGUGGAAUACCAGUAGCGAAGGCGACUUUCUGGACACAAACUGACGCUGAGGUACGAAUGCGUGGGGAGCAAACAGG
rnacentral:rRNA from 1 species